UUUUUUUUUUAGCUUUAUCUGUUGAAUCUCCAGUGCCUUCAGUGUAAAAAUAAUCUUUCUGCCCAAGUGGCCUAUUUUGGGGUGGCAUAUUCUAAUCCCCGUCCACCGGCAGACAGCAUUUUGCCCCCAUCCCCCCAGCUCCGUUUAUUUGCCUUAGGGUCUUACCCCAAGUACAGGAAUCCAUACCUUCCAUGGGCACCUGUUCUGUGCAGACGCCCUUGACCUUGAGUACCAGGACGGGAUUAGAAUGUGACGAGGGAGACAAGCCAGAGAGCCACAAAGAACAGACAGUGAGAGAGCAGACAGCUCCAUCCAUGCUGCUUUAGGAUUUGGGGAAUUUUCCAGGGAUUGUCAAAGCUCCAUAAAGCCAAGUUCCUUUUGACUUCCGAGGAGCUGGGCGUGGGGUCUUGGAAGCCUGCAGAAAACCUCUUAGCUGUUCCCCUGCAAAUGUACUUGACUUCUCAAGCUGCAUUCCAGAGGACUUCACCCUGAGGACUUUUUUUUCUUUUACAAAAAACCUGUUCUGGAGGCUGCGUGGGAGCCUGGCUGGAAGAAGGAACCGGCUCUGCCAGCCCCGGCGCCUGUGCUGGAGCCCGGCGAGCAAGGUCAGCCGGUGGCCGGCCACGUCCAUGGCCACGUCCCUGAUCAGGAAGGGGUUGCAGGCCCCCGGCUGGAGCAGGAGGGUGAGCACGGUCUGGAUUCCCAGUGGCUGACAGAUUGCUUCCUGCCUUUCUGUGGGGAGAGCACAGAGGCAAGAGAGAGGCCUUGGGGGAACGGAGACCCUUCGCUGAGGCCCCGAGGGGUGGACCCCCGGCCCCCGCCGAGGUGAGGAAGACUAUGCGAGAUGGAGGGCAGCUGCCGAGGCGUGCUGGCUGCGCUGGUCGUUCUGGCUGGGCUGGCAGGUAGGGACCUCGGGGCUUGGUGGAAAGUUCCUGGGCAUCCCAGCUGCAGUGGGUGAAGGGACUCGGAGGAGGCCACCAGGGUGUGUGGCUGACAGAAGAUGCUGAGCCCUCUUCCCACCCCCGACCCUGCCUCCUUGUGGGCUCCACUCCGGAAGGGUCCUGCAGGAGCUCCUGACCCCACCUCUCCUCCUCCAUCCCGGUCCUUGAUCCCGGAGGCUGCUUUGGCACCUUUCUCUUCCGUUUCUAUCUGGUCUUCAGGGAAGACGUGACGCCGGCGUCACCUCUUCCCUGAAGCCUUCCUGAGCUUGCAGUUUUCCGGGUGAUAUCCCAGUUCCCAUUACUGACAGAGCGAGGGACCUGUUGCCUGUGAGACCUCCCAGUUGUCCCCACAGCUCCUCUUCGUCCCGGAAGGUUCCCAGAGUCUCGGUGGAAAUGGACUCCAGGUGUCCCAGGCCAGGGUCUCAGAUCAGAGUUGCAGGAGACGGGGAGAUGGAGCAUGCCAACCCCGGGGGUCAUCGGGUAACGAGAGCUUAUACCCCAGCUUUCUUU
rnacentral:lncRNA from 1 species